CAGGCGCGUUCCGUGGGCGGCAAGGGCUCCUGGGGCUUCCUCCUAGCGACUAUUGCUGGGGCGUUCUCUCCGGCUGCCGCGGCUCCGCCUCUGUGCAGGCUCCGCCCGGCUGCCGAAGUUACGCAAUGUGUAGCCCGGGAAGCGCUUCGUGGAGACCCGGCAGAGUGGAUGCGGAGCCCUGGAGCGGGGGAGUAAUCGGGGCGGAGUUUAAGUGAAAGGAUGGCGGUAACCACAGUCUGGGGGCCAGCACCCGCGGGGCGCUUGCUGCGGGGCUCAGCCCUGGGGGUGUCGACUGAUUCUUUAAUCCCGACAGCACAGACUCCUGAGCUGGACUGCCCGAGUUCAAAUAUUGUUUUUUCUCACUAGCCUAAACAGAUGGACCGAUUUAAAAUGAAGGUCAAGUUCUGUCACACCUCGGGGUAGAACUGUCCAGUGUUUCCCCAUCUAGCCCCGAGUUAAAGUCAGAGUUAUUAGAACGGAUGCAUUAGCCCCUCGCCUUUCUCCGAGUCGCCUUACUCUCCCCACUGGUGGAUUCUAGGUUGCCCCCGGCUCCCUUAACAUCCUUGCUCAGAUAUUGCCUUCUUGGUGAGGUCUGUUCUGGCUGCCUUACUUAAAAUCCCAACUUCCUAUCUCUGUUAUCCUGCUCUGUUUUCUUGUAUAGCGGGUAUCCCUUUAUAAUUACCCUGUAAUGUACGUAUCUCUUGUUUAUCAUCUUUCUCCUUUUCCUGUGAACCCCAGACUGAAGCUGCACAGAGGCAAAGAUUUUGCUGUGUUCACCCAUGAACAUGCCUGGCACAUUGCAGGUGCACGAAAUUUGGAAACAGACACAAAGAAGCAUGCCAUAUGAUGAUGAAGGCAGAGAUUGGAGUGAUAUUGCUACAACCCAAGGGAACAUUAAGAAUUAUUAGCAACUACCAGAAGUCAGAAAGAGCACUUUGGGAGGCCAAGGUGGCGGAUCACCUGAUGUCAGGAGUUCAAGACCAGCUUGGCCAGCAUGGUGAAACUCCGUCUCUACUAAAAAUACAAAAAUUAGUUGGGCGUGGUGGCAGGCACCUGUAAUCCCAGCUACUUGGGAAGCUGAUGUAGGAGAAUCGCUUGAAUCUGGGAGGCGGAGGUUGCAGUGAGCUGAGAUUGCGCCAUUGCACUCCAGCUUGGGCAACAGAGGGAGACUUUGUCUCAAAAUAAUAAUAAUAAUAAUAGUCAUCCUGAUGGUGUAAGGUGGUAUCUUAUUGUAGCUUUGGGUUGCAUUUUCCCAAUGAUGAGUGAUGUUGAGCAUCUUUUCAUGUGCUUAUUGGUUAUUUGUACAUUUUCUUUGGAGAAAUAUCUAUUCAAGUCCUUAGCUCAUUUUUAAAUUGUUUAUUUUUUUGUUGUUGAGUUUUACAACUUCCUAUAUUUUGAAUAUUACUCCCUUAUCAGAUAUGUGAUUUUUCAAAUACUUUAGUCCAUUCUUUGAGUUGCUUUUUUACUCUGGUGACAGUGUCCUUUGAUGUCCAAAUUUCAAAAAUUUUGAAGUCCAAUUUAUUUUUUUUCUUUGUUGUCUGUGGUUUUUGUUCAUAUCUGAGAAAUCAUUGUCAAAGCCAAUGUCAUGAAUCUUUAUGCUAUGUUUUUGUCUAAAAGUUUUUUAGUUUUAGAUCUUUAGGUCUUUGAUCCAUAUUGAAUUAAUUUUUGUAUGUGGUGUUAGAUAAGGGCCCAAGAAUGUCUUUUGUGUGUGCACAACAUGUUCAUUUUUAUUACAUUUAAUAACUAUUCCUAUUUUAAGGCUCCCUGAGGACAACACUGCCUUAAAAUCCUUUAUACCCCUAUAGUUCCAUAAAUUUAAUAAGAGCUUAAUGUACUUUUAAAAAAAAGAAUGCUUUAUGAUUACUGAUCAUUGAAUCAAAUUGAAAAUAUUAGUCACUCUGUACCUUGAUUAUAGGACCCAGCAUAUAAGGGAUUUUUUUAAAUGUUUAUUGAAUUAAAGAAUUGAAUAUAUUCUUAUUCUGAGAGAUUUUAUUUUCAAAGAAAACCAUAUUUUUUCAAUUAAGUGAUGUUGACAGGAUUAGAAAAUGAGAUUAUUGUAUAUGUUGUAUUACACAAUGCACAUAGUAAAAAGAGAAUAACACAAAUACCAAAAAAUAAUUUCUACAGCCAUUUUCAAAACAAAUACUGGAUUCCCACUUUAAGAUGGUGAAUUAAAACUGAGUUCAUUUUUUUCUCCUCUAAAUCUUUUUGAAGUAAUUUCAAAAAACGUCCCAAAACACAACAGCUUUGGAAACCAAAACAAAGUGAUGUGAUAGUUAUACAAAAAUGAUCCCAGUGAACCACGCUUGUUGGUACUUAUUCCUCUGUGUAGUCUCCUCCCAUAUUGCAGGUGGACUUUAAUCAAUAAAAUGCAGUGACAGUGAUGCUGUAGCAUUUUGGAUUUAAGCCUUUAAAAGUCCUGGCACCUUCCUUUUUUGCACUCAUGAAAGCGGACCAUAAUGUAUGCAUCCAGCUACCACGCUGUAGAAAGUGGUCAUGUGUAGAAACCCUGGAGGAUGAGAUACCCCUAAGGAUGAGGAGACAGGCCAUGUGGAGAAGCAUCAAGUUGCUAGACAUGUGAGAGAAGUCAUCUUGGAUGUCUCCAUGCAGCACAGCCUCCAGAGGACUGCCGUCCUAGCUGCUAUCUAUGACUGCAUGAGAGACCAGAAGUGAGACCAGAAGAACAGCUCAGCUAAACUCAGUCAACACAGAGGCUCAUAAGAUAAUAAUAAAUUGUUGUUUUAAACCACUACGUUUUUGGUAGAUUGUACUCAGCUAUAGUUCUGAAAGCUAUAAAGCAUCUGGAAAUAGAUUGACAGAAAAAAAAGAAAACACGUAAAUUUUUCUGUAUGAGUUCAAAGAAGAAAAUUCCAAGCUCAGAGCCCAGGCACAGCUGUUAGGAGCCAGCCCUGAGGCAAUUCACAGAACUAGGGGCUGGGAAGUGAACUGAAGGACUUCAGAAAUUGCUAGCCUUCACUGUGCUAGAUGUACUUGCUAACUGAAAUUUGCCACAGUCAGUUCCUAAGCUGGGAGCUAAGGAGUUCAGUGGGAUCAGUGCCCCUUCAGGUUACCAUUAUACAUUGAAUGUGUCACCUCCGCAGUUAAAUCCCACAGCAUCUCUUAGGAUCCCAAAGUCAGAGGCUGGAAUAUUUGACAGUGUCAGGAGUGUGGGUGUGGGCAGAAACAUCAAAACAAAGAAUUAGGAGAGCUUCAUUUAUUCUGCUCGAGGGAGUUUCUAAACUGCCUCUAGGGAGGUGAGUAACUGAACCGAUUCAAAGAGCAAAGGUUGAGCCUUACUGAGCUUGUUGUUCUCACCAAAUAAAGGGGGAAGUGGAAACAAACAAAACCACAAAGGGAGAGAUCUUUUAGCCAGUGCAAUAAUAAGAGCUAUCACUUAUAUGCCAUUUACCAUGUGUUAAAGGCCACUGUUCCAGUUCACUCACAACCUUAUAGAAAACCGUGGUAAAGAGGUUUGUGGUGUAUGAAUGGCAGCAGCCUGAUCUUAGAGUUAUAAACACAAGGCGAUAAAAGUGACAUUUCAAAUCAGUGGGAAAAGAAUGGAUGCUCCAAUAAUAGCAAGUUCCUAAUGCAGAAAUUCGGCCAGUUAUAGGUGGGUCAAAUAUUCCAGCUAUGAAAAAUUAAAAUAAAGACAAAGAUAAACCAUGUGCUAUGUUCAAUUAAUAGAGUGUGAUUACAAAUCAGUAAAAAAAAUUGAGUGCCCUAAACUUGCCAAAUUAUAUGGACAGACAACAAACAAAUGAAAAAUACAAGUGGUCAAUAAAUACACAUUUGGAAAUGCACUCCGUCUGGGUACGGUGGCUCACGCCUAUAAUCCCAGCACUUUGGGAGGCUGAGGCGGGUGGAUCAAUUGAGGUCAGGAGUUCAAGACCAGGCUGGCCAACAUGGUGAAACCCUAUCUCUACUAAAAACACAAAAAUUAGUCAGGAGUGGUGGCACACACGUGUAGUCCCACCUACUCAGGAGGCUGAGGCAGGAGAAUCGCUUGAAUCCAGGAGGUGGAGGUUGCAGUGAGCCAAGAUCGUGCCAAUGCACUGCAGCCUGGGCAACAGAGUGAGAUUCCGCUUCAAAAAAAAAAGAAAAGAAAAGAAAAGAAAAAGCACUCCAAGGCUGAGACUGGAAGAUCGCUUAAGUCGGUGAGGUCGAGGCUGCAGUGAGCUAUGAUCGUCCGAUUUCACUCCAGCCUAGGUGACAGAGCGAGAUCCUAUCUCAAAUAGAUAAAUAGACAAAAAAUAAAAAAUAAAAAAGCAUUCCACUUCACCAGUAUUCAAACUCAACAGGAGUGAUAACAACAUAUUAGUUAUCACAUAUGGAACUUACAAGGAAAUAAUUUGAGGCAAUAUGCCUUAUUAAAUAUUUAACCUUCAUAUGAAGUUGGAAAAUGCCAAACAAGGUGAUGCUGGGACAAAAUGGAACAAAUUGAAUAUUGAAAAAGAUUAUGUGAUGAAAGUGACAAUCAAAUAAAGAAAAGGAAGAUUACUUGGUUACAUUAUAUUGGGACCAUUAAUUAAAUGAAAAAAAAAUCAGUUGGAUUUAUAUCCUAUACCAUAGACUAAAAUCAUUCCAAACAGAUGAGGGACUUACGUGUGAAAAAUGAAACCUUUAAACAACUAGCAAGAAGUAGAGGUGAGUAUUUACCUUAUCUCAAGAUAGGCAAUGGCUUUCUGAGCACAAAAUAAGGAAUAAAUUAUAAAGUUAAAAGACUUAAGCUGGGUGCAGUGGCUCACACCUAUAAUCUCAGCACUUUGGGAGGCCAGGAAGGAGGAUCACCUGAGGUCAGGAGUUCCAGACCAGCCUGGCCAACAUGGUGAUGAAACCCUGUCUCUACUAAAAUAUAAAAAAUUAGCCAGUGAAUCGCUUGAACUCGGGAGGCGGAGGUUGCAGUGAGCUGAGAUUGAGCCAUUGCACUCCAGCCUGGGAGACAAGAGGGAGACUCUGUCUCAAAAAAAAAAAAAAAAAGGCUUAAUAACAUCAAUAUCUAUAAUAUAUCUAUUAAAAAACAAAGCAAAAACUACUUUAAUUGCAAUAAUCUUUCAUAUGUAACAUAGUAAGAUAAUACUCUUUAUUGUUAUCUUGCUAAUCAGUUCAAAUAUCAAAGGGAUACAGUUUUUGACUUAUUUAAUUGGCCAGGAUUUGUAUUAAUGUGGCAAUACUCAAUGUAAGUAAAGAUACAAAGAGAUGGAGAUUUUCUUGUGCUGCUUAUAGACAUAUAAAUAGGCAGUAUUCCUGGAAAGUUAUUUGGCAAUAUGUGUAAAAGGUCUUUAGAACUGUCAUCGUUUUUGACAUAAUAAAUCUACUUCUAGGAAUUAAUCCUAAGGAGAUAUUCAGAAAUAUGAACUCUUUUUAUAAAUAAGAUUUAUCCCUCUCCCUCUCCCUCUCCCUCUCCCUCUCCCUCUCCGUCUCCCUCUCACUCUCCGUCUCCCUCUCGCUCUCCCUCUCCCCACGGUCUCCCUCUCAUGCGGAGCCGAAGCUGGACUGUACUGCUGCCAUCUCGGCUCACUGCAUCCUCCCUGCCUGAUUCUCCUGCCUCAGUCUGCCGAGUGCCUGCGAUUGCAGGCACGCGCCGCCACGCCUGACUGGUUUUGGUGGAGACAGGGUUUCGCUGUGUUGGCCGGGCCGGUCUCCAGCCCCUAACCGCGAG
rnacentral:lncRNA from 1 species